GCUGGGAUAGCCUAGCCAGGAAAGGCGGUGGCCUCGAGAGCCACUGGGCGAAAGCCCACGCAGGUUCAAAUCCUGCUCCCAGCG
rnacentral:tRNA from 1 species